UUAAAGUGACCAUGCCGUGGUGUUCGGGAAGACCGGUGACGGACCUUGUGGUCCCAGUCCGGAGCGGCCCUCGCCACUGUGAUCGGGGAGUUUCCGGCCCUUCCGUAUGCGCGGCGCGCGUACGGCGCCACUGACCGCAGCCUGCGGCCGGGAAGGCGGGGCGGGCACGAGCGUCAGCGAACCCGUAAGCCAGGAGACCGGCCACGGCAUCUCACGAACU
rnacentral:ncRNA from 1 species